GCGGGCGGCGGGCGGAAGGCAUCACUUUGUCCGGACUCUAAUUCAAAUUGUAUUCAUCCGAUCUUCACCAAACUUGGUCAGCAGUUGCAUCUAGUUGAUAUCUAGGCCAAGUUCGAAUAUGGGUCAUGCCGGGUCAAAAACUAGGUCAUAGGGUCAAUUAGUGCAUUUUCAACGGCGCCACAUUGUCCGGACUCUAAUUCAAAUUGUAUUCAUCCGAUCUUCACCAAACUUGGUCAGUAGUUGCAUCUAGUUGAUAUCUAGGUCAAGUCCGAAUAUGGGUCAUGCUGGGUCAAAAACUAGGUCAAAGGGUCAAUUAGUGCAUUUUACUUUGUCCGGACUCUAAUUCAAAUUGUAUAAAUCUUAUCUUCACCAAACUUGGUCAGUAGUUGCAUCUAGUUGAUAUCUAGGCCAAGUUCGAAUAUGGGUCAUGCCAGGUAAAAAACUAGGUCAUAGGGUCAAUUAGUCCAUUUUCAACAGCGCCACUUUGUCCGGACUCUUAUUCAAAUUGUAUUCAUCCGAUCUUUACCAAACUUGGUCAGUAGUUGCAUCUAGUUGAUAUCUAGGUCAAGUUCGAAUAUGGGUCAUGUCGGGUCAAGAACUAGGUCAUAGGGUCAAUUAGUGCAUUUUCAACGGCGCCACUUUGUCCGGACUCUAAUUCAAAUUGUAUUCAUCCGAAACUUUUAAACAACUUUUUAUCCUGCGUCAAAGUGGUAUGGGGGUCUAAACAAUUAUGAUUUAAAUAUUGUGUUUUAGAGAACAAAUGAGACUAAGUGUACACUUAUUGAUAUCAAUGCAUAUAUAUGAAUAUAUCAGUUAUAUAAGUUGUUGUUGUUUUUUUUUGCUUAUUUCCAAAACAAAUACAUCAAUCAUCAGUGUAUCAUCUCCAAUGGCACACGAAUCGGGCGUAUAUUGCUCCGUCAUGCGGCGCUCUUGUUUAUUUUA